AUGUUGGGGAGGAAUGGGUGGAGGGCUGGGGCUGGGGUCGAGGCAAGGGGCUGGGCCUGGGGUUGGAGUGAGGGGGUCUGGGCUGGGCCUGGGGUUGGGGUUGGGGUUGGAGUGGGGGGUCUGGGCUGGGGUUGGAGUGGGAGUGGAGGGUCUGGGCUGGGGUUGGAGUGGGGGGGUCUGGGCCUGGUGUUGGGUCCGGGUCUGGUGUUGGGCCCGGGCCUGGACCUGGGGUUCGAGGUUCGAGGUCCGAGGCCGGGUCGGCUGGGUGGUCUGGGCCCGGGCCCGGGGGUGGUGGGUGGUUGGGGGUGCGGGGUCGGGGCAGAGGCGGGCGGGCGGGCGGGGGGCCGGGCGGAGCGUGGCCUUUGUCCGCCCGUCGGCCCCCGGACCCCCGGGACCCCCCGGACCCCCGGGCCCCGGCGGCAGGGUCAGUAUGGGAUCCGGAGGGGGGGGAGGGGGGAGGAGGGUGACACACACGGACACCCCCGGACAGACGGACAGACAGACGAUGUCCGGCCGGACAGACGUGCGCCUCCCCCCCGCCCCAGCCCGCUGGCUUCCGCCCCGGGCCGUCCGGACGGGCGGGGGGCUUCCGGGUGGUGGGGGGGACCCUCCUCUCCCCUCCCCUCCCCCCAAAACACACACACACGCACAGACAGGACGGACGGACAGACAGACAUGUCCGCCGCCGCCGCGGCGCAGGGAGGAGGCCGGGACCCCCGGGGCCGAUGCGGGGGAGACGGGGAGGGCAGGGGGACGGGGACGGGGACGGGGGAGGGAGGUGCCCUGCCCUGCCCUGCCCCGGGGGGGAUCGGGGGAGGCCUGGGGUCAGCACCCGCGGGGAGGGGGGGAGCCGCACACACGGAUCCCAACCGCCUACUCGCCUUCAUUAUUUCCUGCGUCCGCCGACACCGACACCAAACCGGGGGGGCCGGGGGGGACCGGACGGGGCGCCGGGGACCGAGGCAGCGCGGGAGCCGGGGGGGGAGGGGAGGAGGAGGGAGGAGAGAGGGGGUAAGGGCUGGGGAGGAGGAGGAGGAGGGAGGAGAGAGCGGGGCGGGGGAAAGGGAGGGGGGAGGAGGACAGAAAAGGGGAGGAGGGAGGAGAGAAGGGAAAAGGGGUGGGGGGAAGGAGGGGGAGGAGGGAGGGGGGGGGAAGGAGGAGAAAGGGGGGGGAAGGAGGGAGGGAGAAGGGAGGGGGAGGAGGACGGAGGAGGAGGGAAAAGGGAGGGGGAGGAGGGAGAGGGAGGAGAGAAGGGAAAAGGGAGGGGGAGGAGGGAGAGGGAGGAGAGAAGGGAAAGGCAGGGGGAGGGAGGAGAGAAGGGAAAAGGGGUGGGGAGAAGGGAGGAGAGAAGGGAAAGGAGGAGGGAGGGAGAUGGGGUGGGGAGGAGAGAAGGGAAAGGAGGAGGGAGGGAGAUGGGGUGGGGAGGAGGGAGGGAGAAGGGGUGGGGAGGAGGGCGGGGUGCGGGCAGGCGCCCCCCCCCCCCCGGGGGUGCUCCCCGCCGCCCUCUGGCGGCCGCCCGGCCCAGCGCCCCGGCCCAGCGCCCCGGCCCAGCGCCCCGGCCCCGGCCCCGGCCCCGGCCCCGGCCUCGGCCUCCCUCAGGAUUUCCCCGCCCUCGGCCGGGCCGGGCCGGGCUCUCCCCUCCCCGGACUCGCCCGGGACUCGGUGGAUGGUCCUCCCCGGACGGCACCGGCGGCGCUCACGGCUCGUGCCUCGCGAUCCCGCUCCGCCGCCUGCUCGCUGCCCGACUCCGGGCCUCUCCGGGCCUUCCCUCGGCCGGGCCUCCGCUCCCCCCCACGCGGGACCCCCCCCCCCCCGCCCCCGAGGACCCGCCCUCUGCCCGGCGCCGAACACGUACGGGACCUCGUCCAUUAUUAUGCCGAGAGACAAGCGGCGGGGCUCGGUGGAGAGAGCCCGGCCUGGGGAGUCGGAUGGGCCUGGUUCAUCAUCAUCAUCAUCAUCAAAAUAAUCCAGCCUGGAAUCCAGAACUCGGUCCUUGCCCUCCGGGAGCUGAAGGGAGUGUGCCAGGAAUGUGGAAUGGAUGAGUUUGGCUCCCCUCGAUCUGCCUGGGAAUCCCCGGCGGGUAAAGACUUUGUUUCCUAA
rnacentral:lncRNA from 1 species